rnacentral:lncRNA from 1 species
GGGUUAUUUUGUUGGUGAAUCUGUGCAAGUCAAUUAAUUAGGGUUCCAAGCUACCAACUCCCAUCUCAAAAUUUUAGUCCCUGUUUCUCCCUUGCUCCCCUACGUCUAGCCAUUCAAAACUCUACUCCCAUACAUUUGAUCUGCUAGUAGAACUAAGCCUCUUGCAGAUGCAAUUUCACCUUUCAGGUAGGCUUUUCCAUCGCCUUUUUUUUCUUUUAUUUAUUUCAGUUUUGUGAAAUUGAAGCUGGAAUCAUGAGUUUUGUUAAUUUGAUUUCUGUUUUUAAUUGAUUCUAUAUGAUUUCGUUAAUUUUUUGUUUGAUUUUGAUUUCUGUUAAACCCAGUCCAGAUUCUCUCUUGUUUGUUUAUAGUUACCCACAUGUGUAGGGCUUGUUCAUUUUGAUUUAAUGAUUUAUCAUACAAUCUGGACAUAAAUUAGAUUCGUUAAUGGUGUUCUUCAAAGGAGAUUGAACCUGCAGUAAUUAGGAUAGCACACUGGUGACUUGGUGGUAUAUCUGAUGCCCUCUCCAUCGCUGCCCACCUUGGUUUUUCGGUUGCUCCUCCCUCUCAGUUUGAGGUUUUUUGGGUUUAGGAAUUCGUAAUGCCCAAAUGAGGUGAAUGGAUGAUUAUUGUUGGUUAGGGGUGUGAACUUAUGACACGACAUAAAAACACGACACCAACCUAAAUCGAAAUUUCGUGGGUUUUGGUUUAGUCUAAACGGGUUCGUACGGGUAUAAUGUUGAACCCGCGAACCCUUUUUAACUAAAGGGUUGGGUUCGUGUCGAACCCAUCAGGUUGGCGGGUUAACUCGUUUAAUGUUGAACCCGCGGACCCUUUUAACUCUGCUGCAAUGUUUGCGGACCCAUUUGCGGUCGGAAUGAUGCGGGUGGUAGCGGUGGCUUUCCUUGAGUUCCGGAGGAUAACCAUGGUUGGUUAUGUGACGGUGUUUUUGUGGUGUGGUUGGUGCUGGUGACCCCGGUGAUCCCACCGAUGGGUGUCGUAAAUGGCUGUGAUCUUGGAAAUUCUGUGUAUUUUUGUCGUACAUUAAAAUAAGACACAGUGUUAAGGCCAGUUAUAAUAGUACAAAACGAAACUCGAAGGUACUGACGUGUGUGGCUGGCGACUGAUUAUUAGCGUUUGUUUGCGGUCUAAGAGAUGAUUGGAGAGAUCUCUGCGGAAGUGAUGCAGUAACACCACUUGCCCGUAAAGAAGAAGUGGAACCGAGAGAGUAGUGGCUGCAUAAACGCAGCAGCAGCGGCUGCAGAUACGCAACAAGAACCGAGAGAGCAGUGACCUGUACGUCACGUGGCGCGCUAUAGUGAGCACUUAUAGCUGCUAUUGACAACUAUGAUUGGAUGUUAGCAUUGUUUUGAUAUAAGCUAUUUUUGAAAGAUAUGUAUAUACAUCUUAUCUUAAAGAAAGACCUGCACAUGUGCUUUUGUGUUUGUAUGCACUUUAUUACUGCUGGUUAGGUGAGUGAUGAGUUGAGAUUGAGUGUUAAAACUUUCAUUUUCAGGUGUCUUAGGUUUCAUUGGUAGUUCAUAGCUAUGCUGUCUAAGCACCUAGGUGCACAGUGCACUCAAGGCGUAUAGGCCAAGCCUGGAGCUUAGGUGCUAAAGAAGCGAGGGCUUUUUUAAACUAGGUGCAUAGUAUAAAAUAUAAUUUUUAAGGAUUUUAGACAUGUUUUAGGCAUGUUUAGGGCCAGUCUGAGCUGUUUAAGGUUGAUUCCAGCCUUAUUUAAGGGUUUAUUUUUUAUUUUAUUAAUCAUUUUUACCUGAAUUUAGCCAGAAAUUGGCCUGAGCUGGUCCUGGUUGUCUGAAAGCUCACCUUACAGGCUGCAACGCUAAAUCUGCGGCGGGCUGCGCUUCAAUGCCUAAGGUGCUUUUGAAAACAUAGGUUCAUAGUUUAUAGCUGUACUUGCAGUCGUUUCAAAUGUGCUCUGUAUUUUAGUAUUGCUAGUGGAAUCUAAAUUAACACCCAACCCAGUCUACCCACCCCCUCCCCUCAAGCCUGAUUAACACCGGGAAACUUGAUCUCCAACUAUAAUACCAUUUGCAUCAUAUAUUUUAAAUGUCUAUCUAGUGGCCCUUAAUUAGGUAGUUUGUAAUAAUAUCUACUUGUCUCUUUUAGUCAAAUAAAAUAAAAAGACACUACUGCAAUAGCAUAUUGUUUAUCACCUCUGACUGAAGAUUAUAUGCACGAUUUUUGCAGCUCAUCGCCGUGUCGCGGGUCGCCUUUGUUUCUUGGUGGAUUUAUAGCUGGGCUGGCCUACUCAUAUCCGAUUCAAAUUUCUUUUUGGUCGGUUUCCGGCGAGUGAGAUUAAAAAGUUGAACUUAGUUAUCAAGGAGCUCGUUAAGGAAAAAGUUGAAGAAAAAGAAAGGUUCAAUGCAAUUAUUGCGGGGUUGUUGGCUCAAAAAGAAAAAAGAUAAGGUGGAUAAAGAUGCUAUGCUUGAUAGGAUGUCACAAAUUGAAGCUAUGUUAACAGCUACAGUUCGAAGAUAGGCUAUAAACGCUUGGUUUUGAAUGUUUAGAUGUGUAUCUUAUUAGGAUAAUUUUAGUUAUUUUAUGCUUUAGUUGGUGUUUUUUAUAUGCUUUUGAAAACGAGAUGUUUUAUAUAAUUUUGGGAUUUUAUUACUUUUUUUAUAUUAUUUGUAGUU